AUUGAACGCUGGCGGCAUGCUUUACACAUGCAAGUCGAACGGUAACAGGGUGCUUGCACCGCUGACGAGUGGCGAACGGGUGGGUAAUGCGUCGGAACGUGCCGAGUAGUGGGGGAUAACGCAGCGAAAGUUGUGCUAAUACCGCAUACGUACUGAGGUAGAAAGUGGGGGACCUUCGGGCCUCACGCUAUUCGAGCGGCCGACGUCUGAUUAGCUAGUAGGUGAGGUAAAGGCUCACCUAGGCGACGAUCAGUAGCGGGUCUGAGAGGAUGCUCCGCCACACUGGGACUGAGACACGGCCCAGACUCCUACGGGAGGCAGCAGUGGGGAAUUUUGGACAAUGGGCGAAAGCCUGAUCCAGCCAUGCCGCGUGUCUGAAGAAGGCCUUCGGGUUGUAAAGGACUUUUGUCAGGGAGGAAAUCCCUAGUGCUAAUAACACUGGGGGAUGACAGUACCUGAAGAAUAAGCACCGGCUAACUACGUGCCAGCAGCCGCCGUAA
rnacentral:rRNA from 1 species